GAGAAGUAAUUCACCUUUUGUUCUAGCGGCGGACGGGUGAGUAACGCGUGAGCAACCUGUCCUUGUCUGGGGGAUAAGGAGCCGAAAGGCUCUCUAAUACCGCAUGAGACCACGGGAUCACAUGGUUCUGAGGUCAAAGGAUUUCGGUCCGGACAGGGGUGGGCUCGCGUCUGAUUAGCUAGUUGGUGGGGUAAGGGCUCACCAAGGCAACCACCAGAAGCCGACCUGAGAGGGUGAUCGGCCACAUUGACUGAACCGGUCCAACUCCUACGAAGCAGCAGUGGGGAAUAUUGGCAUGGGCGAAAGCUGACCCAGCACGCGCGUGAGGAGAAGGCUUCGGGUCGUAAACUCUAUCCCAGAUGAAGAUAAUGACGGUAAUCUGAAGGAAGCCCGGCUAACUACGUGCAGCAGCUGCGGUAAUACGUAGGGGGCAAGCGUGUCCGGAAUGAUUGGGCGUAAAGGGCGCGUAGGCGGCCUUUAAGUCCGAUGUGAAAGUCCUGCUUUUAAGGUGGGAAUUGCAUUGGAAACUGGAAGGCUUGAGUGCAGGAGAGGUAAGUGGAAUUCCCGGUGUAGCGGUGAAAUGCGUAGAGAUCGGGAGGAACACCAGUGGCGAAGGCGACUUACUGGACUGUAACUGACGCUGAGGCGCGAAAGUGUGGGGAGCAAACAGGAUUAGAUACCCUGGUAGUCCACACGGUAAACGAUGAGUGCUAGGUGUAGGAGGUAUCGACCCCUUCUGUGCCGGAGUCAACACAAUAAGCACUCCGCCUGGGGAGUACGGCCGCAAGGUUGAAACUCAAAGGAAUUGACGGGGGCCCGCACAAGCAGCGGAGCAUGUUGUUUAAUUCGAAGCAACGCGAAGAACCUUACCAGGUCUUGACAUCCAGUAAAAACUGUAGAGAUACAGUGUGACUUCGGUCAUACUGAGACAGGUGGUGCAUGGUUGUCGUCAGCUCGUGUCGUGAGAUGUUGGGUUAAGUCCCGCAACGAGCGCAACCUUGUGAUUAGUUACUAACGCGUAAUGCGAGACUCUAAUAAGACUGCCGGGACAACUCGGAGGAGGUGGGGACGACGUCAAUCAUCAUGCCAUUAUGACCUGGCUACAACGUGCUACAUGGCAUACAGAAGCUGGAACUGUAAGAGUAGCGAAUCUAAUAAAAGAGGGCCCAGUUCGGAUUGUGGGCUGCAACCCGCCCACAUGAAGUCGGAGUUGCUAGUAAUCGCGAAUCAGCAUGUCGCGGUGAAUACGUUCCCGGGCCUUGUACACACCGCCCGUCACACCAUGGGAGUUGAUAGCGCCCGAAGUCGGUGAGGCAACCGUAAGGAGUCAGCCGCCGAAGGUGAGAUCAAUGGCUGGGGUGAAGUCGUAACAAGGUAACC
rnacentral:rRNA from 1 species